rnacentral:tRNA from 1 species
AUUUAUAUAGUUUAAAUUAUAAAACCUUACAUUUUCAUUGUAAUAAUAAUAUUAUUAAAAUAAUUAUUUAUAAAUA